GUCAUGCAGAAACUAAGUGAGAAUAAAUGUUGUGUUUGAGAGUUGAAGAUCAGGAAAUCUACAACAUAAUGAAGACCUAGUGGAGAAAUCAGCAAGAUCAACUCGUUCUGCAAAUGCUUCUCCUUUGCAGAGGCUAGCGAAGAUUAGAAGGAGAAAACGGUGGACUUGGGAUGAUAUGUUCACGGAGCUCCAGAUGUCCUCCCACACUGAAAGAGCACAGCAGAAUGAAUGGAGGCAGUCAAUGUCAGAGUGCAAAAAAGCACAAUAUGAACAAGAGGAGAGGUGGCGGGAUGAAUUACGGGCUGAACAGAGCAAGUGGUGGGCUGAAGAUGAUAAGUGGCGUCAGCUUGCAGACAGAAGGCAAGAGUCCAUGCUCCGGCUGCUGGAGCAUCAAACUGAUAUGCUCCAGCAUAUGGUUGAGCUGCAGGAUAGGCAGCAGGAGCAGAGACUGCCGCUACAGCCCCUGUGUAACCAACAGCCCUCUCCCUAAGUCCCAUUGCCUCCUCACCCAGACGCCUAAGAACACGGUGGGCUGGCCUACUGCCACCCAGUCACUCCAUCCCAGAUGAUUGCCCGAGCAUCGGAAGGCUGGCCUUCAAUAAGAGUUAAAGUUUUAAACUGCAGUGUGUCCUUGUCCUUCCCUCCUCCCCCACCCAUCCCGGGAUAUCUUGGCAAUUAUCCCCCUAGUUGUGUGAUGAAUUAAUA